GACGAACGCUGGCGGCGUGCUUAACACAUGCAAGUCGAACGGAAAGGCCCUGCUUUUGUGGGGUGCUCGAGUGGCGAACGGGUGAGUAACACGUGAGUAACCUGCCCUUGACUUUGGGAUAACUUCAGGAAACUUGGGCUAAUACCGGAUAGGAGCUCCUGCUGCAUGGUGGGGGUGGGAAAGUUUCGGCGGUUGGGGAUGGACUCGCGGCUUAUCAGCUUGUUGGUGGGGUAGUGGCUUACCAAGGCUUUGACGGGUAGCCGGCCUGAGAGGGUGACCGGCCACAUUGGGACUGAGAUACGGCCCAGACUCCUACGGGAGGCAGCAGUGGGGAAUAUUGCACAAUGGGCGGAAGCCUGAUGCAGCACCGCCGCGUGCGGGAUGACGGCCUUCGGGUUGUAAACCGAUUUCGCCUGUGACGAAGCGUGAGUGACGGUAAUGGGUAAAGAAGCACCGGCUAACUACGUG
rnacentral:rRNA from 1 species